rnacentral:rRNA from 1 species
UGUUUCGGCUAGGGGGUCAUCCCGACUUACCAACCCGAUGCAAACUACGAAUACCGAAGAAUGUUAUCACGGGAGACACACGGCGGGUGCUAACGUCCGUCGUGAAGAGGGAAACAACCCAGACCGCCAGCUAAGGUCCCAAAGUCAUGGUUAAGUGGGAAACGAUGUGGGAAGGCACAGACAGCCAGGAUGUUGGCUUAGAAGCAGCCAUCAUUUAAAGAAAGCGUAAUAGCUCACUGGUCGAGUCGGCCUGCGCGGAAGAUGUAACGGGGCUAAACCAUGCACCGAAGCUGCGGCAGCGACACUAUGUGUUGUUGGGUAGGGGAGCGUUCUGUAAGCCUGCGAAGGUGUGCUGUGAGGCAUGCUGGAGGUAUCAGAA